AUUCUUUUGUAGUUCGUAAGUGUGAUGACUGGGUAUUCAUGUGUGAGAUAGGCCAUCCUCGAAUUUUUUUAUGAUAUGAUGUGGGCACAUUACUCAUCUGCUA
rfam:Homo sapiens chromosome 3, GRCh38 reference primary assembly.